GGCUCAGAACGAACGCUGGCGGCAAGGCCUAACACAUGCAAGUCGAACGGCUGUAAGCCAAAUACAGGAGUGGCGCACGGGUGCGUAACGCGUGGGAAUAUGCCCUUGACUACGGAACAACAUCGGGAAACUGAUGCUAAUACCGUAUAAUGUCUUCGGACCAAAGAUUUAUCGGUCAAGGAUUAGCCCGCGUCUGAUUAGCUAGUUGGUGAGGUAACGGCUCACCAAGGCGACGAUCAGUAGCUGGUCUGAGAGGAUGAUCAGCCACACUGGGACUGAGACACGGCCCAGACUCCUACGGGAGGCAGCAGUGAGGAAUAUUGGACAAUGGGCGCAAGCCUGAUCCAGCCAUGCCGCGUGAGUGACGAAGGCCUUCGGGUUGUAAAGCUCUUUCAGAUGCGAAGAUAAUGACGGUAACAUCAGAAGAAGCCCCGGCUAAAUUCGUG
rnacentral:rRNA from 1 species